ensembl:lncRNA
CUGGGUUGGAAAUUAGGCUGAAACAUGGCAAAGGCGCCUGCUGUGUCAAACACAGUUAAAGAAGUAGGUCUGAAAUGGGGGGAAUAGUAUAGAAAUGGUACGUACUGUAGAUGCCUAUCACGUUGCUGCUUUCUGUCCUGUACACCUUGAAUCCUCGUGUAUGUACGUAGCAGGCGUACUCUCCCUCAUUCACUGUGUUACGUAAUAUCCACGUCACCCUGUGUCCAGGUAGGGUUCUUUCGGUGUAAAGGUCAUUUCCGUCGCGUGUGAGGGUGAUGUACGCCUGGAAAAGGAAUGCGAUUAUGUUAGACUGCGCGAAUACUGAGACCCGAUCAAAUGUUGCUAGGAAAACCGACUUUCUUACAAACUCAUUUAUGGACGAUUGAAAAAUGCACUCGAGGGUCGCAGACUCUUCAGUCCUGACGUACACCCGCGACGCAGUUUCACGUUUGGACAGAGAAAGCGUCGGCGGAGGGAGGGCCUCUGCCAGACAGGAGGAGCAAAAAUUCAGAAGAAAUGUUAUUUGAUUUAAACAUACAAUACAACAAAAAUAUACAAUAAACAAUGGUGUAGGAACAGGUAUAAAAGGCAUCUAGAAACAUCCUCAGGACGCCAAGAAAACUCGACAGAUUGGAAACUUCUAGAACAAAAGGUUCAUACAGGAAACACAGGUGGAAUGAGAACCCCUAAGGGAUCAGACAGAGCAGCUAGAAGACAGAGGAACAGAAGAACACUCCUACAACAUUACUACAACAUUUUUAGAUGAACCAACUUUACCAAGGUGUUUGCAUGAUGCUAGUUAAUGCUUCCUUUGAUUGUAAUUGAAAGGGGAAAAAAAAAUCAGGAACAUCAGUAACCUCC